GGAACGGCCCUUCGCAGCAGGCAGAUGUGAACUCCGUCAGGUCCGGAAGGAAGCAGCGGUAAGCAUUAUUCCUGGGUGCCGAAGGUAGCCGUUCUCUG
rnacentral:SRP_RNA from 1 species